ensembl:ncRNA E02A10.9 ncRNA
GCCUAUUUAUAUAAGCUCUUUUAUUGUCCCAUCAAACACUUGAAUCUGGUGAAUACUCCGACCAGAAGCUAGUACGGCCCAACAUCAUCAAUAAAGUAUUCAUGGUCCAUUUAUGGAUGGCGUGAACCAAAUACAAAUGCUUCAUU